UACAUAUAUUUACUCAGGCCCCUAUACUCUAAGGCUGGGGAUCUGGCUGAGCAAACAGGGCAGAGUUAUGUCCUUUCUGACAGCAUUUGCAGUCCAUUACCAAGGGUGUUGUAGUAGUCAGACCACCAGCAAGGGAAGGAGAAGCAAAGCUGCUUAUGUCUUUUCAGCCUUUUGAUUGUACAAAAACUUCGACAGCAUUGCUGUAAAAAAAUAUCACAAAUAUGGUGGAUUUGCGGCACUUUUUCAUAUUUGAAUACUUCACUGAUUUGAUUAAAACAGAGAAACUUUGAACCACAGUGAAGAACAUUUAAUAUUUUCAUAAUAUGGCCAUUGUGCAUCUGACUUUGGGAUGCACUCCAGACCACAUUCCAUUUGGUUUGCUAGCCCUAAAUCCACAGCAAGUGUCCAAAAUAUCAAAGCUAUGGGUGUUAUUAUGAAAGCAGACCUGGUUCACCAGAUUUUAGGGAAGGCUGUAGUUACAUCAUUCUCCUUGUUGGUGGACUUGCACUUCCACCAGUUCCUGCCAAACAGUUGCAUUAGGUCCAAAGAUUUACAUGGACAUGUCUGAGGAAAUAAGAUCUUAGCAACUCCCACAAAACAGGAUUCUAAAAUAAGAAUUCUGACAUUUUGAAGACAUUUAUCUGUGUUUUAGACUGAUCCAUUCUUCAGAAGAAGAUUUGCAUUUGAGCAAUCCAGGCUGAAGAAUCAAUGGAUUUGUAGUCUUUAUGUGCAGAGAUGUAUAAAGUGUUACUGAAUGCCGCACUUUGAUACACAGUUGCAUUAAAAAUACAAAUUACCAAGAAACAGAUUUCACACAUUCCAAGGAAAAAACAUCUUCUGCUGUUCUUUUGUAGGCACAGUGUUUGUAGAGUAUAAUUUACAUAGUUCUAAAUGAAGGAAAAUCUAUCCAUUGCAGAGGUAGAAGCUGCCUUUGCGUCCUAUAGUAUGAGUUUAAAGAUCCUAAUGCUCUACAAUAUCCAUAGCAUAUCAUCGAACUGACCGUGUAAAGAUGCGUAGGAGAUUAAUUGGCCACCCACUUCUUCAAACUUCACAUUGCUGAUAAUUAAGCACGUGGAAGGAACAGCAAAGUUUAAUGACCUUACUGGUGUAAACUGUCCGCAAUUAUCUGAUCUAGCCACACAUUAGCCUCUUCUGCAAGGACCAGAUACGUGAGUUUCCUUUCUGCUCCAAGAAGGAAAGACAGGAGUUUCAGACCACCCAUUGAGCUGUCUCCCUGUGAUGUUUAGGGCUGUUUCCCCAUUUGAUGAUAAAACCAUAAGGUAUUUGUGUUCCACUGUGAGGACAUGUGGCACUAUUUUAGAAAAUGCUUGCGUAACUUUGACCACUGAAAUAUACAGAGUUAAAAAUAGGCCAGCAUUCCAGAAAUGCCUUAUUCCUCCACAUCCACAAUGGUUUUAUCAUGUAAAAUUCAGAGAAAUUCUGGUAAGGAAAUUAAUCUCUAGAUUUCAUAUAACUACAGAAGGAACAGGGAUUGCUUGGGAGGCAGGAGACAUUUGGGGAUACAGAUUUAGGUCAACAGAUACUGCACCUCCUUACACAAAUAUAAUGUUUUAAAUAUUCAUCUCAUAUGGAUAAACUUAAAAUCCAGGGGUAGUCAUCUAA